ACUGCAGACCUGCAACCAUAGAUGUUUCUAGUGCUGCAGAAACCCAAUCACUGGCCAGCAUUUGGAUCCAGAUUCGCAUCCUCCCUAAAGAACAUCAGUCCGUUGUUGCCUAUUGUGGCAGUUGGUGGCUGGAUUCUGGAUGACUACACAGAAAAAUGGGAAUUGAAGGAGGUGUCAUCCAAAUGACUCCACUCCCCUGCCAUGUCUCCCCACACUCCCAAGUCUCCAUCAUUGGUCAAUCCCAGCUCUCAAGGAUCUAAGUAACUGCGUGACUAAUGGUGUCAGAAGAAAUGUGGAGAGAAGGUUCACAGAAAG